rnacentral:rRNA from 1 species
GACGAACGCUGGCGGCGUGCUUAACACAUGCAAGUCGAGCGGUAAGGCCCUUUCGGGGGUACGACGAGCGGCGAACGGGUGAGUAACACGUGGGUGACCUGCCCUCAGCUCUGGGAUAAGCCUGGGAAACCGGGUCUAAUACUGGAUAUGACUCCAUGACGCAUGUUGUGGGAUGGAAAGCCUUGUGCGGCUGAGGAUGGGCCCGCGGCCUAUCAGC